AUCACCUGGACAAGAUCAGUGAUCAUGUGCUUGUUGACAUAAACGACCCUGAACCCCUAAUUCAGACUGCAAAAACCACGCUGGGCUCCAAAGUGGUGAACAGCUGCCAUCGACAAAUGGCUGAAAUCGCUGUGAAUGCCGUCCUCACUGUGGCAGACAUGGAGCGAAGAGACGUCGACUUUGAGC